CGGCACGGGUGAGUAACACGUGAGUGACCUGCCUUUUAGACUGGAACAACUUACCGAAAGGUGAGCUAAUGCCGGAUGAGUUAUAUAAGUGCAUGUUUAUAUAGGAAAAGUUGGGGAGACCUGACGCUGAAAGAUGGACCCGCGUCCCAUUAGCUAGUUGGUAGGGUAAUGGCCUACCAAGGCGACGAUGGGUAGCCGGCCUGAGAGGGUGGCCGGCCACACUGGGACUGAGACACGGCCCAGACUCCUACGGAAGGCAGCAG
rnacentral:rRNA from 1 species